GAUGAACGCUGGCGGCGUGCCUAAUACAUGCAAGUCGAGCGAACAGACGAGGAGCUUGCUCCUCUGACGUUAGCGGCGGACGGGUGAGUAAAACGUGGAUAACCAACCUAUAAGACUGGGAUAACUUCGGGAAACCGGAGCUAAUACCGGAUAAUAUAUUGAACCGCAUGGUUCAAUAGUGAAAGACGGUUUUGCUGUCACUUAUAGAUGGAUCCGCGCCGCAUUAGCUAGUUGGUAAGGUAACGGCUUACCAAGGCAACGAUGCGUAGCCGACCUGAGAGGGUGAUCGGCCACACUGGAACUGAGACACGGUCCAGACUCCUACGGGAGGCAGCAGUAGGGAAUCUUCCGCAAUGGGCGAAAGCCUGACGGAGCAACGCCGCGUGAGUGAUGAAGGUCUUCGGAUCGUAAAACUCUGUUAUUAGGGAAGAACAAAUGUGUAAGUAACUAUGCACGUCUUGACGGUACCUAAUCAGAAAGCCACGGCUAACUACGUG
rnacentral:rRNA from 1 species